rnacentral:rRNA from 1 species
UACAGAGGUCCCGAGCGUUGUUCGGAUUCACUGGGCGUAAAGGGUGCGUAGGCGGCGCGGUAAGUCGGGUGUGAAAUCUCGGAGCUUAACUCCGAAACUGCAUUCGAUACUGCCGUGCUUGAGGACUGGAGAGGAGACUGGAAUUUACGGUGUAGCGGUGAAAUGCGUAGAUAUCGUAAGGAAGACCAGUGGCGAAGGCGGGUCUCUGGGCCUUACCUGACGCUGAGGCACGAAGGCCAGGGGAGCAAACAGG